UUUAUUUAUUUAUUCAAUAAACAAAAUAGAAAAAAAGAAAAAGGGGGUAGGUAGAAAGAGAUUUUCAACGAUAGAUAGUACGAGCAGUAGAUAGUAUAUAAAUGAAGGAACACGUGUAUGUCGUGAGUAAUGUCCCUCAACGGCUGUUAUUGUGACACGUACGAAAUCUAGAUCUCAAUUCGAGACGGUCGAUAUAUCGUAUUAUAUAUCCAACCCUCUUCUUGGAACGUUUUUACUUCCUGAUUAAGUUUUUUUUUCUUUUUUUUAACAAUAAGUCAAUACCUUACACUCUUAUCUUGGAUAAUAUUUCAAACUCCGGCCCUCAGCUCCCUCCAGUCUUGACAUAAGAGGAUCAGGAACAAGAUUUGAAGAUGAAUUACGGACGUCCUCCACCUCCGCAUCAUCACGAGAAUCCAUUGAUGACACUGUGCUGUUGCCCUUGUAUGAUGCUCUCCUCAAUAGUCUCUUGCCUUUGUUACCCUAUUCUUAACUGUUUUGGUAUGGGUCAGCAUCGUCCUCAUCCACAUGGAUAUCCCCCUCCCCCUCCUCCCCACCAUCAUCAUCGCUACUAACUAAUGCGCCAUUCUACCCGUACGCUGCAUUUGAUGUUUGUGGUUUAAUUAGUACAAGUAGUUGUGGUUCCUUUUCGGCUUAUUUGGAUGAUGUUGUGUUUAGUAUUGUGGUAUGGAUGAUGGUUUAUGGGUUGUUUUUGGGCCACCAUGUAAUAGAAUCUUCAAAUUAGAUGGUUGUGUACUUAUGUUAUCAAGCGUUCAAAUUGA